AAUUGACGGGGACCCGCACAAGCAGCGGAGCAUGUGGUUUAAUUCGAAGCAACGCGAAGAACCUUACCAAGACUUGACAUCGUAUGACCGCCAUAGAGAUAUGGAAUUCCCUUCGGGGACAUAUAGACAGGUGGUGCAUGGUUGUCGUCAGCUCGUGUCGUGAGAUGUUAGGUUAAGUCCUGCAACGAGCGCAACCCUUAUGAACAGUUGCCAAUAUUAAGUUAGGAACUCUGUUCAGACUGCCGAGGUUAACUCGGAGGAAGGUGGGGAUGACGUCAAAUCAUCAUGCCCCUUACGUCUUGGGCUACACACGUGCUACAAUGGCUACUACAAAGGGUAGCGAGCUGGUAACAGUAAGCCAAUCUCAAAAAAGUAGUCUCAGUUCGGAUUGUGGGCUGCAACCCGCCCACAUGAAGUUGGAGUUGCUAGUAAUCCCGAAUCAGAAUGUCGGGGUGAAUGCGUUCCCGGGUCUUGUACACACCGCCCGUCACGCCAUGGGAGUUGGGAGUACCCAAAGUCGGUGAGCUAACCGCAAGGAGGCAGCCGCCUAAGGUAAGACCGAUGACUGGGGUGAAGUCGUAACAAGGUAGCCGUAUCGGAAGGUGCGGCUGGAUCACCUCCUUU
rnacentral:rRNA from 1 species